AGAGUUUGAUCCUGGCUCAGAACGAACGCUGGCGGCGCGUCUUAAGCAUGCAAGUCGGGCGGUAGCGGGGCGCUUGCGCCCCGUCUAGAGCGGCGGACUGGUGAGUAACGCGUGGGUGACCUACCUUUAGGACGGGGAUAGCCUUUAGAAAUAAGGGGUAAUGCCGGAUAUAAUUACGGCGCUACGGCAGUGUAAUGAAAGGCGCUUCGGCGCCGCCUGAAGACGGGCCCGCGUCCCAUUAGGUAGUUGGCGGGGUAACGGCCCACCAAGCCCGUGAUGGGUAGCCGGCCUGAGAGGGUGAACGGCCACACUGGGACUGAGAUACGGCCCAGACUCCUACGGGAGGCAGCAGCUAAGAAUAUUCCGCAAUGGACGAAAGUCUGACGGAGCGACGCCGCGUGGAUGACGAAGGCCGAAAGGUUGUAAAAUCCUUUUGCUACUGAAGAAUAAGGCGGGCAGGUAAUGGCCUGCUGAUGACGUUAGGUAGCGAAUAAGCCCCGGCUAAUUACGUGCCAGCAGCCGCGGUAACACGUAAGGGGCGAGCGUUGUUCGGAAUUAUUGGGCGUAAAGGGCGCGUAGGCGGUUACGCAAGUCCGAUGUGAAAUACCGGUGCUCAACACCGGGGCUGCAUUGGAAACUGCGGAACUGGAGUCAUGGAGGGGGAGUUGGAAUUCCUAGUGUAGGGGUGAAAUCUAUGGAUAUUAGGAAGAACACCGGUGGCGAAGGCGAACUUCUAGCCAGUGACUGACGCUGA
rnacentral:rRNA from 1 species